rnacentral:rRNA from 1 species
GACGAACGCUGGCGGCGUGCCUAAUACAUGCAAGUAGAACGCACAGUUUAUACCGUAGCUUGCUACACCAUAGACUGUGAGUUGCGAACGGGUGAGUAACGCGUAGGUAACCUGCCUGGUAGCGGGGGAUAACUAUUGGAAACGAUAGCUAAUACCGCAUAAUAUUGAUUAUUGCAUGAUAAUUGAUUGAAAGAUUCUAUUUCAUCACUACCAGCUGGACCUGCGUUGUAUUAGCUAGUAGGUGAGGUAACGGCUCACCUAGGCGAAGAUACAUAGCCGACCUGGGAGGGUGGACGGCCAAACUGGGAAUGGGACAAGGGCCAGACUCCUACGGGAGGGAGCAGUAGGGAAUCGUCGGCAAUGGACGAAAGUCUGACCGAGCAACGCCGCGUGAGUGAAGAAGGUUUUCGGAUCGGAAAGCUCUGGUGUAAGAGAAGAACGGGUGUGGGAGUGGAAAGUGCACGCUGUGACGGUAUCUUACCAGAAAGGGACGGCUAACUACGUG